rnacentral:tRNA from 1 species
GCGGUCAUGGUCUAAGGGAAAGGCGCUUGUAUAGAGGGGAUACAAGAGAUAUGGGUUCGAUUCCUGUUGAUCGCA